rnacentral:tRNA from 1 species
GCCCCCGUAGCCCAAUGGCAGAGGCAGGCGACUUAAAAUCGCUCCAGGUGCGGGUUCGACUCCCGUCGGGGGCG